UAAACCAGGAUUAGAUACCCUAUUAUAUUUAAACAAAUUGGGUAGUAUUAUUAAUAAAAACCUUUAUACUUUGGCGGCAUUUUAUCUUAUUAGAGGAAUAUGUUCAUUAAUCGAAACCACACGAUAGUUUUUACUUACUAUAAAAUUUUAUAUACCCCCGUCUAAAGAAUUUAUUUAAAAUUUUUAUUCCAAAUUAUAUUAAAAAAAGUUAGGUAAAGGUGUAGACUAUUAGUAAGAUUAAAUGUAUUACAUUAAAAAAAAAAUUUAAGGAUAAAACAGUUAACUGUUUAUUAAAAGAGGAUUUAUAAGUAAUUUACUUUUAAUAAAAAUUAAUGAAUAAGAAAAUAAAUGUGCACAUAUCGCCCGUCACUCUCACAUAUAAACCAGGAUUAGAUACCCUAUUAU
rnacentral:rRNA from 1 species